rnacentral:rRNA from 1 species
GCAAGUCGAGGGGUAACAGGCGAAACCUAGUUUUGCGCUGACGACCGGCGAACGGGUGAGUAACGCGUACGGAACUUACCUCCAAGUGGGGCAUAGCCCCGGGAAACUGGGAUUAAUACCCCAUGGUAUUAUAGAGUGGCAUCACUUUAUGAUUAAAGAUCAGUCGCUUGGAGAUAGUCGUGCGUACUAUUAGAUAGUUGGUGAGGUAAUGGCUCACCAAGUCAGCGAUAGUUAGGGGGCGUGAGAGCGUGAUC